rnacentral:lncRNA from 1 species
UUAACCUGCAAACCCCCUUGUACGUGUUGGUUUUUGCACCCUGAAAUCAAUCUAAAAGAACCUCUACAAAGCCUACCCAUAGGGACGGCUCGUAAGGAGCCUUUGAAUGUCCUUGAUGGCUCUUUGGCACCGCUCGGCCACCUCGGAACUGGGGCUGGUGAGAUCACCAUAGAAAUCCAAGUCGAUGAUGUCAUCAACUGUCCCCCUCAGGUGAUCCUUGGCCAGGUGGGCAUUGGCCUCCCACAGCUGCUCGGCCACAGCCACCUUGGCCUCCAGGUCCUCAGGGACAUCAGGGGACACCUCAUUUGUCCCCUCCAGGGCAUCCUUGAUGUCCCCAACCCUGCGCUGCAGCUCCCGGGGGAAGGCGGUGGCUUCGUCACACGCGGCCACCAAGCGCUUCAGCAGCCCCAGGGCCACCUCCACCCGCUGUCUCACCAUGGUGACCCUGGUUGCCCAGCUAGCAGCCUCCCGGGCCUGUCUCGUCACCUGGGCUUCACGCCUGGCCACCCCCUCGGCCCCCUCCUUCCCACCCAGGGCCUGACCCAGCUCCACCAUGUUUUCCUGAGCUGUCCCAUCACGGGCAGCCUCAGCCUGCAGCUCCCUGGCCCGGGCAGUGUACAACGCCACCCUGUCGGCCGCCUUGGUGGCCAAAUCCCUGCAGGUGUCGCGGAGCUCGGUGGCUGUCAAGGCCAGCUUGGCCCAUCUGUUCACAAGCGCAGACACCAACCCCUGCCACUUGCUGGCUGUCAUUGUCACAUCAUCCCAGGUGGUCCAUGGGGUGCUCUCAUAGGCGGCCAGGGCCUGGCUCAGGGAGAUUACAGGGUCAUCAUCAUCAGAGGUGACAGUGUGGCGCCUCCAGGUGUCACCAAUGCCGUACAGGGUGGCUCGGAGCUCCAUGGUGAAUUCCUCCAGGUCCCCAUACAGGCACCCUGGGGACACAAUCAGCAUCUCUUUGUCCAGAUUGGGAAGGAUGGCCAUCAUCUCACCAAGCGUGGCCACCACGGUGACCUGGGGCCGCAGCAGGGCCAGGGACAGCUGGGGAGGGGACAGGGGAGGUGUCAGGGACCUGGUGGCACUUAUGGCCUUCUGAGGUGGCCCUGA